rnacentral:rRNA from 1 species
AUUGAACGUUGGCGGCAGGCUUAACACAUGCAUGUCGAACGCGUGGCGGACGGGUGAGUAAUGUCUGGGAAAUUGCCUGAUGGAUGGGGAUAACUACUGGAAACGGUAGCUAAUACCGCAUACCAUCGGAUGUGCCCAGAUGGGAUUCGCUUGGUGGUGGGGUAACGGCUCACCAAGGAGACGAUCCCUAGCUGGUCUGAGAGGAUGACCAGCCAACCUGGAACUGAGCCACGGUCCAGACUCCUACGUGCGGCAGCGUUGGGGAAUAUUGCACUAUGGGGGCAGGCCUGGUGCAGCCAUGCCGCGUGUAUGAAAAAGGCCUUCGAGUUGUAAAGUACUGUCAGCGGGGAGGCGGUAACCGCAGAGGGCGCACCGGCUAACUCCGUAGCAGCAGCCGCGGUAAUAC